rnacentral:rRNA from 1 species
AUGAAGUCUCCCCUCGAGGUGUUGCUUCAUGAAACUCCAGAUUACUCCUUCCUCAAAGUGUUCGGUUGUGCGUGUUGGCCACAUCUUCGUCCAUACAACAAGCAUAAACUUCAGUAUCGAUCAAAAAAGUGUGUAUUCCUUGGGUACAGUCCUUUCCACAAAGGUUACAAGUGUCUCCAUAUUCCGACGAACCGCGUUUACAUUUCCCGUGACGUUGUGUUCGAUGAGACUGUCUUCCCUUUUUCCACAUUCACAUCAUCCACUGAUACUCCCGUCACCAAGUUGCACUCUUUUCCAGUUUUGCCUGCUCAAUUUGUGGAUGCUGCAUAUUCUCCUCUGUUGUUGCCUAACCAUGGUGCAGGGACUGGACGAGGUGCGCGACUUGAGCUUCUUGAGGAUGAUCAUGCGGCCUCACCUGAGCUAGCCGCCACUACGUCGGCUGUGCCUGCUGCCACGCAGGCUGUUCACGACGUCGACCACGAGUGCAUGGGGCAUGCAAGUGGACUUGACAAGGCACCCACGUCGCCUGUGUCCGUGGUCUCGUUGCCACCUGGGCCGGCCGAUUCAUCGGCGCUGUCGCCUGGUGUUGGAAAUAUGCCCUAG